GUGGGGAAUAUUGCACAAUGGGGGAAACCCUGAUGCAGCGACGCCGCGUGGGCGACGAAGCGCUCCGGCGCGUAAAGCCCUGUCAGCAGGGAAGAAAAAAGACAGUACCUGACCAAGAAGCCCCGGCUAACUACGUGCCAGCAGCCGCGGUAAUACGUAGGGGGCAAGCGUUAUCCGGAUUCACUGGGCGUAAAGGGAGCGCAGGCGGCACGGCAAGUCUGGUGUGAAAGCCCGGGGCCCAACCCCGGGACUGCAUUGGAAACUGCCGGGCUGGAGUGCCGGAGGGGUAAGCGGAAUUCCUGGUGUAGCGGUGAAAUGCGCAGAUAUCAGGAAGAACACCGGUGGCGGAGGCGGCUUACUGGACGGCAACUGACGCUGAGGCUCGAAAGCGUGGGGAGCAAACAGG
rnacentral:rRNA from 1 species